CCUGUCCUGCGGGUCGGCCCCCGACAGGGCGGAGCGAGCCGCGGCCGACAGGGAGCGGGAGAAGCCGGAGAGGGGCGAGGGAAAGGGCACCCAAACCGCCCCGCCGUCGCAGAGACAGUCGGAUGGGGACUCUUCCAUUAAAGACAGGUCACCUCCUAAUUCCACUUCUACUACUCGUAUCAAUCCUACUACCACAACUACUACUGCUACUGCUACUUCCUCCUUCCACCCCAGUCUGACAGCUAACAGCCACUCGACUCACCAUCAGUACUGCUGCCCCGCCCGGCUCCUCCUGCCCCUCCCACCUGGGGCCCUACCCCCUGCCAGGCCCUCGGAGCAGGCAAGAGAAGAGGAAGAAGACGACACCACCCAUCAGUUCUGUUGCCCCGCCUCCGAGUGCAGUAGCCCCUCCUCUAGGUAACCUGCCGAUCAGGUGCCCCCCCCCUCCCCCCCCACCUCUGCCUGCACCUGGAUUGGACAAUGUGGGCUACAGACAGCCUGGACCAAUCAGUAUCACUUGGGAAAGACCCAAACCUGACCCUUCCUCUGUAACUGCAUGUUAAAUACCACCUCAUCGUCUGUGUCACAUGGACCAUGCAAACUAUUUCAAAUGGCUCACAAAAAACGCGUACCUUUGAACUGUGAAAGCAACUGGAACUGUCAACGGCACCGCAGCACAAGACUGGCACGGAGAGAGAAAUAGAGAACCAUAGCAGAAGAAAAAGAAAAAGAAAAAGUUACCUCUCAUCCAUCUUGGAUUCCCUCUAUUCCUGUUUGCCCUGCAGUUCUUUCUCUUGUGUGCGCUGUGCUCUUUACUGUGACUCACAGCGUACCUUGACUCGCUGUGUACUUACGUAUAACUGUGCUAUGACACCUGCAGCCUCUGUACCACAACUAGCACAACAUACUGUGCCCCGCACCGUGCCCCCACAUGAUACUGACUCCAACACUAUGCUCUGACUCUGACUGAACUCUGACUCUGACAGUGUACUCCACAUGACAUUGACUCUCAUUAUAGUCAGACUCUCAGUCUACUCUGAGGACCAUAUUCUGACUCACUGUACACUCUGACUCUGAGUGCAGUGACUCCCACUACACUCUGAUUCAGUUCACAGUGACUCCCACUACACUGAUUCAGUUCACAGUGACUCCCACUACACUCUGAUUCAGUUCACAGUGACUCCCACUACACUGAUUCAGUUCACAGUGACUCCCACUACACUCUGAUUCAAUUUACAGUGACUCCUGACUCAUAGUGUACUCGCAGAAUACCGAUAUCUAAUGAACACAGCCAGAUGUAUCCCUUUGAUCCAGCUGAGGCAUAUUUUCACUCCUUUUUCAUGAAGUGUAAAUUAUUGAUAUGGCUCUGUGAAUGAAGAGGGAACUUGGGCUCUCAGAGAGAACCAUUUUAAUUUCCAGGACAUGUUUUCUCUUUGAGGAGUGGACAAUGAGAUUUCAUUUGGCAGAACCUCAGAGAGGGUUAUCAUGACAGACGUUUUUGGGAAGUGGUGUCAGUUUAAAAACCAAGAGUAGAUGGUGCCUUUAUGAACACAUUACCUGGACAAAAUCACUUUGUGUGAUUGUACUCACAGGGACAGUGGUCCAAAUUGGGUGGUAGUCUGACCUGAUUGGUUGGUUAUCUGAUUGUUUGGUUGAUUGUGUUGUAAGAUUCAGUGGCUCUUUAACGGUACCGAUCCAAGUCCCUGGGGGUCCACUGUUAUCAUUUCCUUUAGUAAUGAAGUGCAUCUGGCUGGCUUGGUUAAAGCUAUUUAAAUGGUGACUAAAAUACGGCUGUUUAAAUUAAGACUAGACAAUAAAGCUAUUUAAAUGCAGCUGUUUGACUAUGCACCACAGCUGUUUCAAUAAACUAUAAAAUACAGUUUCGAUCAUACAAUAUAGCUGUGUAAAUUGAGACUAUUCACUACAGCUGUGUAAAUAGACACUACCACACAGCUAUUAAAUUUUCAUCAUACAAUACAGCUAUUUAAAUUGAUUCUAUUCACUACAGCUGUGUAAAUUUCGACUUCAAUACAGCUGUUUAAAUUUUAACUAUACAACAAAGCUGUUUAAAUUUCGACUAUACGAUAUAGUUGUUUACAUGUAAACUACACAAUACAGCUGUUUAAAUUUCAACUAUACAGUACAGCUGUUUACAUUUCAACUAUACAACACAGCUUUUUAAAUUUUGACUACAAUACAGCUGUUUAAAUUUCGCCGAUACAAUACAGCUGUUUAAAUUUUGACUAUACGACACUGCUGUUCAAAUUUUGACUAAACAAUCCAGCUGUUAAAAUAGAGAUUAUACAAGAUGGCUGAAUGGAGACAGUCAUGAGGGGAAGCAAAUAAACCAUGCGAUGUCCAUGUGAUCUCUUCAUAGUUUUCAGUGAGCCGAUAGUCUAAAGAAUGUAAUGGAAUUGAAGAUAUUUUCUCCCUCUAGCUCACACACACACACACUUAAACACAUCAACUGAAACUGUGACUUUUGUACUGUAUGACGAAGGGUUCGUGACCGACGAAAAGGGAAAACGUUGAUGGUGAUGACGAUGAUGAUAAAAAAUUGGAGGACGAGGCGUUCUAAUGGCAAAACUUACGAUGGUACUGAAAAUGACAUGGAUAAACUGAGCGAAUGCAUGAUGGAUUUAACCUAUUACUGAUAGACAUAUUAAUGUUAUAAUGACCUUGUGUUAUAACUUGCAUUAUGGAAAACCAAUGUGUCCGUGAGAAUAAUUUCGCUGCAUGGCUGGUGUUUCUGGAAGGAAAGAUGAAAAUAUUGAGACUUACAGAACAAUUCUAUCGCUUAUUACUGCACUCUCCUGCUACUGCCUUCUUUGUGUUUCCCUUCUUAUUCUUGUUUCAUAUGCCUUCACUUUAUUUAUUUCAUAUUUAGGACCUCAAGAUUGUAUAACAGGGAUCAGAGACAGGUCUUGGUGGUCCACGAACUGCUGGUUUUCCGCCCUCCCUUUACUUGGGAGUCAGGUGUGAAGACAGUCUGGCCAACCAGUAGCAGUAAUUGUACAACAGAUUACUUGGGAGAAAAGAAAACCAGGGCCAGAUUUGAGGUUCAGAUUUGAUGAUGGCUGCUGUAUAAGAAGAGAAAAGACUCUUGAUUGGGCCGUAACCAAACACUAAAUUUUUCUUCUUCUUACUUCGUAACUUGUUUUCUCCAAAUUCCCAAUUCCCAAUUCCCGGACACGUCUGUAGGCCCAUUCCGGGUGUUCCGAAACACCUCCUUUCAGUUCAGGAGAGUGCAGGCGAGCGCAUGCUCUCCUCUCUGAAAACACGCGGGGGCUGAGCCCCGCUGCAUCGGGGGCAGCCGGGGCAGAUGGGGCAGAUGGGGCAGAUGGGGCAGAUGGGGCAGGGAGACUGCAGGUGCCCUGUGGACCAGGAGACCCGGUGCUGUGCGGUGAGGGUCUUGUAGAGACUCGGUCCUGUACAGGGACAGCCCAGACCGCAGCCCCCCCUCCCAGGGGAAGGGAGCGACAUGGCGGUCAGUUCCGCCCCCCUCUACGCGGUCGCUGUCCGCGGUCGACGCCGGCGUGGUCAGGACUCAAUACUGGAAGGUUGCUGCACCAACAACCAGCCCCCCCCCCCCCCUACGAAAUCCAUACUUGCGCUGACGGGACUAUGCGGGCCUCUGCCUGUCUCAGCCACGCUCACCUGAGGGCCCGAGGCGGAGUGCGGAAGGUUCCAGAAGCGGCGAUCGAUCCCGCAGAGGAUCCACAGAGGCGGACGCGCCGCACGGCUCGGGCUGAAGGCCGGAGUAAACGCUCCCCACCGACACGUCUCCCCCUGUCACCUGCCCACCCCUCCAUUUCAGUCUGCUGGUCCUCUGGGGAGAUAGAAAGAGUCAUUGGGUAAUGUCAAAUAUAUUGAGAAAUAUUAAAUACAGAUUUAUCAAUUGAUGCUAAUAAUGAUGAUGAGGAAUACAAAGACGUAACUAAUAAAAUGAUGAUUCUGAUAA